UGAUGGAGCAUGAACCUCAGUGGUGGGUGAAGGUCUUCUGGUGGAGGUGCUGGUGGACAAUCAGGUCUUCUGGUCAGGUGGACAUGAUGGUGGAGGUGAUGGUGGACCAUCAGGUCUUCAGGGUGGGGUCUGAUGGAGCAUGGGUGAAGGUCUUCUGGUGGAGGUGAUGGUGGACCAUCAGGUCUUCAGGGUGGGGUCUGAUGGAGCAUGAACCUCAGUGGUGGGUGAAGGUCUUCUGGUGGAGGUGCUGGUGGACAAUCAGGUCUUCUGGUCAGGUGGACAUGAUGGUGGAGGUGAUGGUGGACCAUCAGGUCUUCAGGGUGGGGUCUGAUGGAGCAUGAACCUCAGUGGUGGGUGAAGGUCUUCUGGUGGAGGUGAUGGUGGACCAUCAGGUCUUCAGGGUGGGGUCUGGAGGAGCAUGGGUGAAGGUCUUCUGGUGGAGGUGCUGGUGGACCAUCAGGUCUUCAGGGUGGGGUCUGAUGGAGCAUGAACCUGGUGGAGGUGCUGGUGGACCAUCAGGUCUUCAGGGUGGGGUCUGAUGGAGCAUGGGUGAAGGUCUUCUGGUGGAGGUGCUGGUGGACCAUCAGGUCUUCUGGUCAGGUGGAGUCUUCAUGAAGAAAGGUGGAGGUGAUGGUGGACCACCAGGUCUUCAGGGUGGGGUCUGGAGGAGCAUGGGUGAAGGUCUUCUGGUGGAGGUGAUGGUGGACCAUCAGGUCUUCUGGUCAGGUGGAGGUGAUAGUGGAGGUGAUGGUGAAGGUCUUCUGGUGGAGGUGCUGGUGGACCAUCAGGUCUUCAGGGUGGGGUCUGAUGGAGCAUGGGUGAAGGUCUUCUGGUGGAGGUGCUGGUGGACCAUCAGGUCUUCUGGUCAGGUGGAGGUGAUAGUGGAGGUGAUGGUGAAGGUCUUCUGGUGGAGGUGCUGGUGGACCAUCAGGUCUUCAGGGUGGGGUCUGAUGGAGCAUGGGUGAAGGUCUUCUGGUGGAGGUGCUGGAGGACCAUCAGGUCUUCUGGUCAGGUGGAGUCUUCAUGAAGAAAGGUGGAGGUUCCUGCUGGGCUUCAUCAGCUGCUGGUUCUGACCCAGACCGUGACAGGAAGUGAUGUAACAGCCCUGCAUCCUUCUGGAGAUCUGCUGUGACAGGGAGCUGGUUGCCAUGGUUACAGCCACGGUUGCCUAGGUAACCGCUCCCCUGAGGAGGCAGCAGCUGUUACCGGGGAGUCACCGUGGCAACGGGCAGCAGCGCCGCCGCCAUGGUUACCAUGUUUCUAAGCUCUGGUUCUGGUUCUGUGUC